rnacentral:rRNA from 1 species
CAGGCACCGAAGAAGGAGAAGGCCCCGACGGUGUCGUCGAAGCCGGCCAAGUCCGGCGGCGGCAAGCAAAAGAAGGAGAAGUGGAGCAAGGGCAAGCAAAAGGAAAAGGUGAACAAUGCGGUGCUCUUCGACCAGGCCACCUACGACAAGCUGCUCACCGAGGUGCCCAAGUACAAGCAGAUCACGCCCUCCGUCCUCUCCAAGCGCCUCAGGGUAACCUCCUCCCUCCCUCCGCCGGAUCUCUUCUUCUUGCUUGCCUCCUUCCUUACUUCUCGUGAGAACCGAGAUCUCCGGACGGUAGGAUAUGUAUGUGAUGCAUCAUGGCUCCUGGUGAAGUGUUCUGCUCUGAGCAAGAACAAGAUCUCUGUUUUGGGGUCAGUCAGUCAGUGGUACCCUGAGCAAGAACAAGGUCACACCAGUGCGCUCUACGCCUGUCUAGAUAGGGCGUAUAUGAUUGUGUUGUGA